CGCCUCCUGCAAUGUAAAUAAGUAUAGGAGGUCCAGCCUGCCCAGUGACCACAAGUUUAACGGCCGCGGUACUUUGACCGUGCAAAGGUAGCGCAAUCACUUGUCUUUUAAAUAAAGACCCGUAUGAAUGGUUAAACGAGGGCUUAACUGUCUCCCAUUUCCAGUCAGUGAAAUUGAUCUACCCGUGCAGAAGCGGGUAUAAAUAUACAAGACGAGAAGACCCUUUGGAGCUUAAGGUACAAAACUCAACCACGUCAAUCAACUCAAUAAAAAGCAACUUUUUACUAAACCCUGUGACAAAUGAGACCAUACCUUCGGUUGGGGCGACCAAGGAGGAAAAGAAAGCCUCCAAGUGGAUUGGGUCAACACCCUAAAACUAAGAGAGACAUCUCUAAGCCACAGAACAUCUGACCAUAAAUGAUCCGGUCAAUUAAGACCGAUCAACGAACCAAGUUACCCUAGGGAUAACAGCGCAAUCCUCUCCCAGAGUCCAUAUCGACGAGGGGGUUUACGACCUCGAUGUUGGAUCAGGACAUCCUAAUGGUGCAGCCGCUAUUAAGGGUUCGUUUGUUCAACGAUUAAAGUCCUACGUGAUCUGAGUU
rnacentral:rRNA from 1 species